GACGAACGCUGGCGGCGUGCUUAACACAUGCAAGUCGAACGGUGAACCAGAGCUUGCUCUGGGGAUCAGUGGCGAACGGGUGAGUAACACGUGGGGCAACCUGCCCCAGACUCUGGGAUAACUCCGGGAAACCGGAGCUAAUACCGGAUACGACUACUUCGGACAUCCGACGGUAGUGGAAAGUUUUUCGGUCUGGGGAUGGGCCCGCGGCCUAUCAGCUAGUUGGUGGGGUAAUGGCCUACCAAGGCGACGACGGGUAGCCGGCCUGAGAGGGCGACCGGCCACACUGGAACUGAGACACGGUCCAGACUCCUACGGGAGGCAGCAGUGGGAAUAUUGCACAAUGGGCGAAAGCCUGAUGCAGCGACGCCGCGUGAGGGACGACGGGCCUUCGGGUUGGUAAACCGUACUUUCUAGCAGGACGAAGCGAAAGUAGGACUGUACCUGCAGAAGAAGACA
rnacentral:rRNA from 1 species